rnacentral:rRNA from 1 species
UACGUAGGGGGCAAGCGUUGUCCGGAAUCAUUGGGCGUAAAGCGCGCGUAGGCGGCCCGGUAAGUCCGCUGUAAAAGUCCAGGGCUCAACCCUGGAAAGCCGGUGGAUACUGUCGGGCUAGAGUCCGGAAGAGGCGAGUGGAAUUCCUGGUGUAGCGGUGAAAUGCGCAGAUAUCAGGAAGAACACCCGUGGCGAAGGCGGUUCUCUGGGACGGUACUGGACGCUGAGACGCG